rnacentral:lncRNA from 1 species
GACCGCAGGCCACUGGCUGGCGUAGAGCACAGGCUUGUGGUGGGCUGUUUGUCUGCGUGAAGCUGGCAUGGCCUCCCGUUCCCCUGCAUCUGUUCCCCAUUAGCAGAGCCGAGAGUAUAAAGCAGGGAGCUGACAGGGGCUGGGAACACUCGAGUUCCUGCCUGGAUCAUGGGGUUUACUAUCUGGCUGUGCGCGCUCUGCCUGCAAGCGAGCCUGCUGUCACACGCCCUCGACUGCUCAGGAGCAACACAGGAGCUGUGUGUCAGCGCACAGACCGCAGACGCACAGUAUGAUGAUCAGAAGCAGCAGAGGGCGCUACCUUUACCUGAAGAGCUGGUUUUGUUCAGACGUAAGAGACAGUUGGAGCGGAGGGGUCCCACCCACAUGAGCCACUCCAGCCUGCCGGGGUCCUUCUCCGCCAAAGGCUUCCCCAAUACUCUCAUCCAGGCUGAUAGGUCCAGGCGACACUUGGCUCAAGCUGCGAAUAAGAAAAAGAACAAGCGUAAAUCCCGCGUCGGCUCCUUCUCCCUCCUUAGCAACGACAAAUCCACCCCCCUACAGGUGAUCAGAGCGAGACGACAGCUGAAGACCGAUCCAUCCAAAGGCAGGAACUCUGGUCGUACUGGUGCUUUAUCCGUCCUGGGAGAUUCACUGAGCGACGGACAGAGCGACGGACAGAACGACAGACCCAAAAGAAGCGUACAGAAGACGAGUGCUGGGAAAUAAAACGCUCUAACUUCGGGGUGUGCACAUUACAACCGUGUGUCCCCAAAAACAUGUAGAAGAACUUCGGUUUAUGUGCUUUGAGUUAUGUUGACGUGUGUGUCCACCAUCACUGUUUCAACUGUAAGAUUAUCAGUCUGCACUUAUGGAUACUUUUUAUAUACUAUUUUAAGUUUCUAAUAUAUUCCUGCAUCUUAUAAAAUCACAAAUGAUCCCAUAUUAAUAUUAUACUUUGCCAUUUUUGCUGUAACCUAUUUAAUCACAGAUUCCUUAUGAAUAUUGGGGGUAUAUUUUUGCAGAAAUAUUUCUUGUGUUGUAUCAGAUUUCAAUAAAAGUUUAGUAGACACAUAUGAUGUACGCGUCUUUAAACAUUGAGCACGUUAUGCUUCUCUAUAAAAGUGCUUAAUGCUUCUGAGCUCCAUUCAGAAGUUGUAUAACAGUAGCAGCUCAGUCUUUCCUUGUCGCCUUCCCAGAAUGACACGUUACAUUUCCCACUUGAGGGUCUGUGAAACUGACCGACU